rnacentral:rRNA from 1 species
GACGAACGCUGGCGGCGUGCUUAACACAUGCAAGUCGAACGGAAAGGCCCUGCUUUUGUGGGGUGCUCGAGUGGCGAACGGGUGAGUAACACGUGAGUAACCUGCCCUUGACUUUGGGAUAACUUCAGGAAACUGGGGCUAAUACCGGAUAGGAGCUCCUGCUGCAUGGUGGGGGUUGGAAAGUUUCGGCGGUUGGGGAUGGACUCGCGGCUUAUCAGCUUGUUGGUGGGGUAGUGGCUUACCAAGGCUUUGACGGGUAGCCGGCCUGAGAGGGUGACCGGCCACAUUGGGACUGAGAUACGGCCCAGACUCCUACGGGAGGCAGCAGUGGGGAAUAUAGCACAAUGGGCGGAAGCCUGAUGCAGCAACGCCGCGUGCGGGAUGACGGCCUUCGGGUUGUAAACCGCUUUCGCCUGGGACGAAGCGUGAGUGACGGUAAUGGGUAAAGAAGCACCGGCUAACUACGUG